GAACUAGCUAACNGAAAUCAUAAAAUCAUGAAUAAUGGUGAUAUGAUAACGUAAGGGAAAAAAACGAUAUUACCUUACUAUUAGUGUUGUCCAAAGCUGGUGCCAGAAGACUCGGUAAGGCCAGAGACGCAAACGUUAGUCGUCCUAAUCAGGCGUAAAGGGUAUGUAGGCUGCUUUGAAAGUUUUAUUUAUAAUAGCUCUUUUUUUUUUUUUAAUUUUAAAAAUUUAAAACGAAUAAAUAAAAUAAUUAAAAGCUAGAAUCAUAAGGAAGAUAAGCCAAAUAAUACUUAGAGUAGGGGUAAUAUCUGCAAAUACUAAGGAGAAUACUAACGGUGUAAACUUUUUAUCUAAUAAUGAUUGACGCUGAGAAACGAAGGUGAGAACAGGAAAUAGGAUUAGAGACCCAGAUACCUCUCACUGUAAACGAUGAAUGGUGGUUGUUAGUAAUAAUAAAACUGAUAGCGAUGUUAACACGAUAACCAUUCCGCCUUGCGAGUACGGUUGCAAAACUGAAACCAAAAAAAUUA
rnacentral:rRNA from 1 species